rnacentral:rRNA from 1 species
GACGAACGCUGGCGGCGUGCCUAAUACAUGCAAGUCGAACGAAGCUUUUUUAACUGGUGCUUGCACCGACUUAAACAACUGAGUGGCGAACGGGUGAGUAACACGUGGGUAACCUGCCCCAAAGCGGGGGAUAACAUUUGGAAACAGAUGCUAAUACCGAAUAAAACUCAGUGUCGCAUGACACAAAGUUAAAAGGCCAUUUGGCGUCACCUAGAGAUGGAUCCGCGGUGCAUUAGUUAGCUGGUGGGGUAAAGGCCUACCAAGACAAUGAUACGUAGCCGAGUUGAGAGACUGAUGGGGCAGAUUGGGACUGAGACACGGCCGAAACUCCUACGGGAGGCUGCAGUAGGGAAUCUACCACAAUGGGCGAAAGCCUGAUGGAGCAACGCCGCGUGUGUGAUGAAGGCUUUCGGGUCGUAAAGCACUGUUGUAUGGGAAGAACAGCUAGAAUAGGGAAUGAUUUUAGUUUGACGGUACCAUGCCAGAAAGGGACAGCUAAAUACGUGCCAGCCGCCGCAGUAA